UGAAUGCUGUGUUUUGUGUUUUUGCAAGAGAUCAUGAACCGGUUUGAGGUAAUUCCAGGUGAAAAGGUUUCAGGUACUUGCUUGGUCAUAUUGUCCUUUCAAUAUUCAAAGGUGAAGCAAAAGCAUGGGGAUUGUUGCUUCUAGAAAAACCCCAGUUCUCUUGUCUGCACUCUGCAUGCUGUUGAGCUAAGCCAGUUUU